rnacentral:rRNA from 1 species
CCUACGGGUGGCUGCAGUGGGGAAUAUUGCACAAUGGGCGCAAGCCUGAUGCAGCCAUGCCGCGUGUGUGAAGAAGGCCUUCGGGUUGUAAAGCACUUUCAGCGGGGAGGAAGGCGGUGAGGUUAAUAACCUCAUCGAUUGACGUUACCCGCAGAAGAAGCACCGGCUAACUCCGUGCCAGCAGCCGCGGUAAUACGGAGGGUGCAAGCGUUAAUCGGAAUUACUGGGCGUAAAGCGCACGCAGGCGGUCUGUCAAGUCGGAUGUGAAAUCCCCGGGCUCAACCUGGGAACUGCAUUCGAAACUGGCAGGCUAGAGUCUUGUAGAGGGGGGUAGGAUUCCAGGUGUAGCGGUGAAAUGCGUAGAGAUCUGGAGGAAUACCGGUGGCGAAGGCGGCCCCCUGGACAAAGACUGACGCUCAGGUGCGAAAGCGUGGGGAGCAAACAGGAUUAGAUACCCUUGUAGUC